rnacentral:tRNA from 1 species
GGUCUCAUGGCUUAGAUGGCAAAGCGCCUGCCUAGUAAAACAUCGGGAGCAUGGGUAGCAGGAGAUCACGAGUUCGAGUCUCGUUGGGACCU